GUUACUCUUAAAUAAUAGAGUAUCGCAAUUUGAUUGCGGAAGCCUAGUAAAUCAAGGUUUUAGAAUUGCUUAGAGCGAUAAAAAAUCGGGAGAAUGUUAUUAUUCCCCACCAAAACCCCACCAAGAUUUAAUCUUGGUGGGGUUUUAUUU
rfam:Streptococcus gallolyticus strain ICDDRB-NRC-S1, complete genome.